UUGUGGAGCUGUGGUUCUUCUGCUUUAUGAAGGGAGAAUAUGUUAUGGAAGAGCUUUGCCGGAGAACAGAGACGGUGAGCGAAGGGGCGGCGACGGAGAGAUGAAUUGAUGCACGAAGAAGAAAAGAAUGCGUAUUAGAGAGAAAGAAGAAACGCCUUAUUUAAUUCCAGCCUUUAGAUUUGUUUUUGCCACAUGUCACAAAUCUAACAAUGAACCGGAGGGAAAUGCCUAAGGAAAUGGAGUGGACCUGAACUCAUUCCAUAUACACUAAAGGUUAGUUUUUGAAUAAAUUAUAAAAUUUUAAUAAGAAAGAUAAGGUUCUUUGGUCCAUGUGUUUUUUCUAAAUUAUUCCUUAUAAAAAGGGCCGGAGAGAGUAGUAUAUAUUUAAGAUACAUUAAUUAUAUUAUGGGGCCAAAUCUAACAUGCACAACCACAUUAAGUAGUGUAUGGUGCACAAGUUAGUGUUAUCGUUAUAACGAAUACGAAUUUUACAAAAUCUAUCGUUGGAUUGAAAGUUUGUAUCAUAUAGAUCAUCUAUAUCAAAUUUUAAAAAAAUUGACAAUUAUUUGAUAUGUCAUUGAGACUCGUCAAGAUUAACGGUUUAUGAGUUUUUAUUAUUAAAUUACACAUCAAAU
rnacentral:lncRNA from 1 species